rnacentral:rRNA from 1 species
UUAAGCGACUAAGCGUACACGGUGGAUGCCCUGGCAGUCAGAGGCGAUGAAGGGCGUGCUAAUCUGCGAUAAGCGCCGGUAAGGUGAUAUGAACCGUUAUAACCGGCGAUACCCGAAUGGGGAAACCCAGUGUGAUUCGUCACACUAUCAUUAACUGAAUCCAUAGGUUAAUGAGGCGAACCGGGGGAACUGAAACAUCUAAGUACCCCGAGGAAAAGAAAUCAACCGAGAUUCCCCCCAGUAGCGGCGAGCGAACGGGGAGGAGCCCAGAGCCUGAAUCAGCAUGUGUGUUAGUGGAAGCGUCUGGAAAGGCGCGCGAUACAGGGUGACAGCCCCGUACACAAAAGCGCAUGUGCUGUGAGCUCGAUGAGUAGGGCGGGACACGUGGUAUCCUGUCUGAAUAUGGGGGGACCAUCCUCCAAGGCUAAAUACUCCUGACUGACCGAUAGUGAACCAGUACCGUGAGGGAAAGGCGAAAAGAACCCCGGCGAGGGGAGUGAAAAAGAACCUGAAACCGUGUACGUACAAGCAGUGGGAGCACAGGUUUACCUGUGUGACUGCGUACCUUUUGUAUAAUGGGUCAGCGACUUAUAUUCUGUAGCAAGGUUAACCGUAUAGGGGAGCCGGAGGGAAACCGAGUCUUAAUUGGGCGUUAAGUUGCAGGGUAUAGACCCGAAACCCGGUGAUCUAGCCAUGGGCAGGUUGAAGGUUGGGUAACACUAACUGGAGGACCGAACCGACUAAUGUUGAAAAAUUAGCGGAUGACCUGUGGCUGGGGGUGAAAGGCCAAUCAAACCGGGAGAUAGCUGGUUCUCCCCGAAAGCUAUUUAGGUAGCGCCUCGUGAAUUCAUCUCCGGGGGUAGAGCACUGUUUCGGCUAGGGGGCCAUCCCGGCUUACCAACCCGAUGCAAACUGCGAAUACCGGAGAAUGUUAUCACGGGAGACACACGGCGGGUGCUAACGUCCGUCGUGAAGAGGGAAACAACCCAGACCGCCAGCUAAGGUCCCAAAGUCAUGGUUAAGUGGGAAACGAUGUGGGAAGGCCCAGACAGCCAGGAUGUUGGCUUAGAAGCAGCCAUCAUUUAAAGAAAGCGUAAUAGCUCACUGGUCGAGUCGGCCUGCGCGGAAGAUGUAACGGGGCUAAACCAUGCACCGAAGCUGCGGCAGCGAACGUAUCACCCAAGACAACUUUACGGAGUUGACGAUUGACGGAGCGAAGCGACGUCAAAGCGUUCAUUAAAGUCGAGUUGGCUUAGGGAUACGUUCGUUGGGUAGGGGAGCGUUCUGUAAGCCUGUGAAGGUGUGUCGUGAGGCAUGCUGGAGGUAUCAGAAGUGCGAAUGCUGACAUAAGUAACGAUAAAGCGGGGUGAAAAGCCCGCUCGCCGGAAGACCAAGGGUUCCUGUCCAACGUUAAUCGGGGCAGGGUGAGUCGACCCCUAAGGCGAGGCCGAAAGGCGUAGUCGAUGGGAAACGGGUUAAUAUUCCCGUACUUGGUGUUACUGCGAAGGGGGGACGGAGAAGGCUAUGUUGGCCGGGCGACGGUUGUCCCGGUUUAAGCGUGUAGGCUGGUUUUCCAGGCAAAUCCGGAAAAUCAAGGCUGAGGCGUGACGACGAGGCACUACGGUGCUGAAGCAACAAAUGCCCUGCUUCCAGGAAAAGCCUCUAAGCAUCAGGUAACACGAAAUCGUACCCCAAACCGACACAGGUGGUCAGGUAGAGAAUACCAAGGCGCUUGAGAGAACUCGGGUGAAGGAACUAGGCAAAAUGGUGCCGUAACUUCGGGAGAAGGCACGCUGACACGUAGGUGAAGUGAUUUACUCAUGGAGCUGAAGUCAGUCGAAGAUACCAGCUGGCUGCAACUGUUUAUUAAAAAACACAGCACUGUGCAAACACGAAAGUGGACGUAUACGGUGUGACGCCUGCCCGGUGCCGGAAGGUUAAUUGAUGGGGUCAGCGUAAGCGAAGCUCCUGAUCGAAGCCCCGGUAAACGGCGGCCGUAACUAUAACGGUCCUAAGGUAGCGAAAUUCCUUGUCGGGUAAGUUCCGACCUGCACGAAUGGCGUAAUGAUGGCCAGGCUGUCUCCACCCGAGACUCAGUGAAAUUGAACUCGCUGUGAAGAUGCAGUGUACCCGCGGCAAGACGGAAAGACCCCGUGAACCUUUUACUAUAGCUUGACACUGAACAUUGAGCCUUGAUGUGUAGGAUAGGUGGGAGGCUUUGAAGUGUGGACGCCAGUCUGCAUGGAGCCGACCUUGAAAUACCACCCUUUAAUGUUUGAUGUUCUAACGUGGACCCGUAAUCCGGGUUGCGGACAGUGUCUGGUGGGUAGUUUGACUGGGGCGGUCUCCUCCUAAAGAGUAACGGAGGAGCACGAAGGUUGGCUAAUCCUGGUCGGACAUCAGGAGGUUAGUGCAAUGGCAUAAGCCAGCUUGACUGCGAGCGUGACGGCGCGAGCAGGUGCGAAAGCAGGUCAUAGUGAUCCGGUGGUUCUGAAUGGAAGGGCCAUCGCUCAACGGAUAAAAGGUACUCCGGGGAUAACAGGCUGAUACCGCCCAAGAGUUCAUAUCGACGGCGGGUGUUUGGCACCUCGAUGUCGGCUCAUCACAUCCUGGGGCUGAAGUAGGUCCCAAGGGUAUGGCUGUUCGCCAUUUAAAGUGGUACGCGAGCUGGGUUUAGAACGUCGUGAGACAGUUCGGUCCCUAUCUGCCGUGGGCGCUGGAGAACUGAGGGGGGCUGCUCCUAGUACGAGAGGACCGGAGUGGACGCAUCACUGGUGUUCGGGUUGUCAUGCCAAUGGCACUGCCCGGUAGCUAAAUGCGGAAGAGAUAAGUGCUGAAAGCAUCUAAGCACGAAACUUGCCCCGAGAUGAGUUCUCCCUGAGACUUUAGGUCUCCUGAAGGAACGUUGAAGACGACGACGUUGAUAGGCCGGGUGUGUAAGCGCAGCGAUGCGUUGAGCUAACCGGUACUAAUGAACCGUGAGGCUUAACCUU